UCGUUAUAACUUGAUAUCUCAUCGGAUGCAAAAACAGCUACUUUCAGCUUUGAAACUUGUACAUAUGGACAUUCUUUGGUUUACGAGAAUGAUUCUCGAGAUAAUCGGGAACGUAGGCAAAGUCCCUGGUAAAACGUCUUUUGCUCCCCGGAAACGGUAAACUCGCUGUUUGUUCAAAAUCUGCCUCCAGUGACAAUCAUCAGUAAGAGUUUCAGUAAUCAGUACAUUGGCAACAGCAGAUAUGGACCAUCUCAAUUCCCUAAUAAUGAUUCCUUCGUAAAAUCGACUUAAAUGUGCCGCAUAGAAACCUAUACGGGAUUUAGGCUGUAUCGAUUAUUCGGGAUAUACUCACGGGACGUUGGACGU